rnacentral:lncRNA from 1 species
GGACAGCAGAAAGUGAGGAGGUACAAAGCGAGAUCGUCCUCGAAGAAUCCCUUGAAAGUCGGAAGGAGAAAGAGCCAAAUUUUGGUGCAUCAUAUGAAAUUGAAGUUUACACUUAUUAUUUCUUCCGAGAAGUUGCUGUGGAAUACAUAAAAUGUGGAAAAGGCUAUUUAUUCACGAAUUGACAGGAUUUGUAAGAAUGACGCAGGAGGAGAUUUUUCUUCGAAACGAAAAUUUACCACUUUUGUGAAAUGACCUGUUCUGUUCCAAGAAAUUAUCUCCUUUAUUUUAACGAACUUCAAAGAGUUCAUUUUAUAGAAAAGGAAGAAGUAUUAAAUUACCACACUUGAGUAAGUAUUUGCAGUACCAUUAUUCUUUAUUGCAUAUAAAGAGCCAAUAUUAAAUCAUUUAGACAUCCCAAAAGUGGUUCUAUUUUGUGAGCCUAUAAAAGGUCCUACAUAAAAAUAAAUAUUUGACCAGAAUAUAAAGCCAUUCUAGGACCUAUUAUUGCAAAACUUAAACACCCCAGUCUUGGCCUGAUAUCGAAAGCCAUUCCAAGACCAUUGUCUAAAAAUAUAUUGGACCAUUAUAAACUUGCAAUCAAGGACCAUUUUCGUAUUUAAAUCUAUUGAA